rnacentral:rRNA from 1 species
CCUACGGGAGGCAGCAGUAGGGAAUAUUGGACAAUGGACGCAAGUCUGAUCCAGCCAUCCCGCGUGAAGGAUUAAGGCCCUAUGGGUUGUAAACUUCUUUUCUUUGGGAAUAAAAAGCGGUAUUCAUAUCGCCUUGAAGGUACCAGAGGAAUAAGCACCGGCUAACUCCGUGCCAGCAGCCGCGGUAAUACGGAGGGUGCAAGCGUUAUCCGGAUUCACUGGGUUUAAAGGGUGCGUAGGUGGCUUUGUAAGUCAGCGGUGAAAGCCUGGAGCUCAACUCCAGAAUUGCCAUUGAUACUGCAGAGCUUGAAUCAAGUUGAGGUGGAUGGAAUAUUACAUGUAGCGGUGAAAUGCUUAGAUAUGUAAUAGAACACCGAUUGCGAAGGCAGUUCACUAAGCUUGUAUUGACACUGAGGCACGAAAGCGUGGGGAUCAAACAGGAUUAGAUACCCUGUAGUCCACGCCUAACGAUGCAAACUCGACAUUAGCGAUAUACAGUUAGUGUCCAAGCGAAAGCGUAAGUUUGCCNCGNGAAGUAGACGNGAGUAGAGUUANAGAGUUGNGNGNGNGAGNGCGAGACGACGACGAGGAGAGG